UACUCGGCUCCAGAAAAGAGAAUAGCCCCAACCUACAAAAAUCAAAUCAGCAGAAUUGCAGAGAGUGAGAGAGUAAGAGAAAAUGGAGGGAGGGAGCUCAGAAUUGCAGAGCAUACAAGACGCCAUCAGAUCCUCAGAUGUGGUGGAGAAUCGGAUUGAAUUACUUAAGAAGCUUGGCGAUUUGAAAAUAACAAAGAAGUCUGAAUUGGCUUCCCUUGCCGAGUGUUUGACAAUAUUCUGGGAGGAGUAUACUUGCUUGGAUUUAAGCCAGUGCAUGUUAAAUAGCGCUAUAUUACAGGUGGCUGCGAAGCACCUAGAAUCAGACACAUCCAACUGUCUAGCACAUUUCCUUGUCCUUGGGACCAAGGCAAGCAUAUGGUGUGGAAAGCACCUAAAAAUGACUCUUAUGUCAACCGAGGAAUCUCAAGAAGAAGAGCACGAGAACCUGUUCUUUCAGCUGUUUCUGGAUCUGCUGAGCUUUUUGAGGGCUUGCUUUUCAGCUUUGGCAAGAUACCCUGUUUCUGUUGAGAAGAUGACAGUGGAUGUAGUUGAAACAUUCUUUGAUGAAGAGUUAAACUUGAUCAAAGAUUCUAUAUCAGAGAUAAAGAGAAUUCAGUCAUUUGUAUCAGAAGAAGUAGUAGUAAAGGUCACACAGGAGGUCAUUGAUUCUGUAAUAAGACUGUGUGGAGCAUAUGCCCGAGCUUUGAAUUGGGAGUCUUGGGAAGAAAAACUCGAGAGGGAUAAAACUGACAUGGACUUUGAAGGGGCCAAUAGUAUGAAUCAUGUUAUUAAUGUAACAAAGUGUACAAUAGAAAAACUAUGUGAGAUGGGCUUUAUUGCAGCUAAUAAUGGCGGAAGUCUGGUACCGAUUAUUAAUAUGUCGUGGAAAGGUGUGGUCACUUUGCUUCAGCUCGGUGAUGGGGUAUUAGCAACAAAGGUGAAUGUAGCAGCUCUAAUAUCAAAUCUAAUCUCAUUGGUUAAUGAAUCUAUAAGACAUGCAGCUGAGGCAUGGUUUUCAUCACUGAAGGAAAACAUCUCUGUGUCAGAAGCUAGAAAGGCAUUUCUUCCUGUAAAGUUUUAUUUGGUUAAUGCAGUAAAAAUAUCUUCCCUAUACCCAUAUCAAGCAUAUCUGGUGCAAAGUGAGAUAACAAAAUGUAUCCUGAUGAUGUCAACCUUAAAGAUUUCAUUGAGCAAUGAAAAACUGUUAAAAACUGCCAGUGAUGUUUUCACAGAACUCUUGGAGAAGACAUCCUUGGAUUUGCUUAUUGCUCUACUGAACUCAGUUCAAGUGAAGCGGGAGCUCAAGGUUGAGAUUCUAGACUAUCUCUUCGGUGAAGGAAGCUGCACAAAUUCUGUUGCUGGAGAUCCGACUACAUGUGGGGAAGCAUUGCCCGGAGAAAGGACCUUCUUGAUUGGCCGUGUUUCAUUGUUUCUUAAUUUUCUGAGAUUUUCUCUCGAUCUUGACGACGAUGUAAAGCUUGGGAUUGCUGGAAAGCUUGGUUGGUUCUUUGAUAUGUUAGUAAAUGAAGAGGUAUAUUCUUCCAUUCUUCUUUUGCAAGUUCCUGUGCUAUAUGGUUCUGGAAAAACUGUGGAAGUUGUCCGGCAGCCUUUGUUUUCUUCUCUUUUGAAUGCAUUGCAAAUCUACAUGCUUGUGGUUUCUUCUGGUCCUGCUUGGAGGGAGUUGGAGUCUUUUCUUCUUGAGAAUUUAUUUCACCCCCACUUUCUUUGCUGGGAGAUUGUAAUGGAACUUUGGUGCUUUAUGGUUCGCCAUGCUGAGUCUGGGAUGGUGAGUGGCAUUGCUGGUAAACUUUGCUCAUUAAUGAAGUUGGUGGCAUCUACUGAAUCUGUUCUUGUAGCUGAUUCUGCUCUGAGAAAAGUGGCAAGGUCAAUCAGCAUAAUUCUUACUUUUGGUGCACAAUCUAUGGUAGACCAGGUUUACAUGGCCAUUGUACGUGAUGAGGGAACCCAAUUGUCAUCAGUUAUGCGUCUGGCGUUGUUCAUGGAGGGCUUCCCACUGAAUUUACUGUCAGACAAGAUGAAAAGAAUUGUGACGCAAAGGAUAAUUACUGAUUACUGUCUCUUCAUUGAAAAUUUUGAUGAGAAGUCAAUGAAAUCUCUUGAUUGUGGUCUUUUUGGGGCCCCAGUUUUUGCUUUGUCAGCUUCGUUGCAGUCUCUUCAGAUCAGCACAUCUGAUAUCAAUGUGAAGACCUUGAAGUUUUUAGUUGCCAUCAUUCAUAACUACAGAGUUUGUGAAGAUCAGCUAAUGAAGGACCAGUACCGUAAGCUUCUGAGUGAAACAUUAGUGAUCAUCUCAAAUAUGAAGCACCUAUAUGCAUCUCUUGAAAUGGAGAAAGUAAUCUGUGAGCUUGAAAACCUGUUUAUCUCAGGACCUGCUGUUUCUGAUACCCAAUUGUAUGAAUGCAAACCAGAUCUGGCUCUUUUCAUGGCAGGCCUUGCUCACAUGGAUAUCAAAGAAGCUGAUGAAAGUUCAAAGAUCUCUGCUCUAUGGGAUUUGUAUCACAUGUUAUUGGGAGAGCGGCACUGGGCAUUUAUUCAUCUGGCAAUUACAGCAUUUGGAUACUUUUCUGCUCGGACAAAUUGCAAUAAGCUCUGGAGAUUCGUGCCUCAGAAUGCAGCGCUUUCCUAUGAUCUGACUUCUGGAAAGGAGGCAAAUCUGGAGCGAUUUAUGUCUGAGUUCAAGGUUUUUCUUGAGAAGGAAACGGCACUUCUCACAAUAACGGCUAGCUCUGACCAGCUUGGUCUGCUUGUGAGGGAGGGUCUAAAACUAAAAGAAAUGUUCCAAAAGAUUUCAAAUGUCGUCGUUGAGACUGCGGAAUGUGACUACAUGGAAAUUGAUGGUGAAAAGCAGGCCAUGGAGAUGAACGGUGGAAAACAAUCCAAUAGGAAAAGGAAAUUUCCUGAUGGAAUUGAAAAGGGAAUGGAACUGCUACAAAGUGGUAUGAAGGUUAUUGUGGAUAGUAUUUCUCAGUUGCAGCAAAAUGAUCAACCCAGUUCCAAUGAACUACCCGACAACUUCUUGACCACCUUUUCUCGCCUUGAAGCUGAAAUUUCUCAACUAGUUGGCCUGGCUGGUGGUGAUUAGGUUGCAAUAUUGUUCAUUGUUGGGAAGUUGUUUUUCAAAGCUUAACGAGUGAGUUAGCCAUUGCCUAGAUGCUGAAUGAGCAAAUUCUUCUUCCGUUUUUUCCGUUUGGCUUCAUCAGCUUCCAAUUCCAUGUAAUGCUGGUAAUUCUUAACAAUACUAGAGGGGAGGCAAAGGAACAGAGCUAGCAGCGGAUCAACGGCCAGACCGCCAGAGUGUGAGAUGAGAAUCCAUGUCAAUAUGCAAUAACCUGCUAUGCCAAGCUUAAUAGAGUCCCCAAAAUUCAGCUUCAGGAAGAUCCCCUAGAUAUGCAGAAAAAUCCGUAUAGUAAUAGUUCACGUUAAUGUAAACUCUAACAUACAAGGAUCAUUCACAAAGCAUUCAGAUACAAUUACAUGCAUGCCAAUAUCACGAUCAAUCAUAUCAACGGAAGAAGACCCUUGAGUGUUCAUGACGUUGGAUGAAGUUGGGGCCGAGUUCUACUUUUUCACUAAAAUAGUUCCUCUCCCAAGUUUUUGUACUCGGGUGAUAGUGAAAGCAGCUGGGACCUGAGCGGCUGAGCAUAUAUAAGUACUUGCAGAAGAUAUCUCCCAUAAGCAAUACAUU